rnacentral:lncRNA from 1 species
CCGCGGGAGUGGAUUGCAGGCGCGGCGUGGGGAUGCGUGCAGGUCCUCCACACGCGGUCUCUCCAAACAGCCUCGGGGAGUAAAGGUGUGGCCUAAGCGGGUUGCGUUUCUCCUCCUGGCAUUUCGGGUACUCCUCCCCGCCGCGACCUGAAGCACCCUCGAACUUUCUCCCGGAAAAAUCUCUACCCAUCCUGUCUUUUCAUAUUUUUUCAAGAGGUCUCAGUGGCCCAUCCCCGCCAGUUACCUCUUCUUCCCACCCACUCGGUGUCGAGGGCGGCCGCCGGGUGGCGGAACCCGCUGGGGACUGCCGGGCGAGUGGAUUCUAGGUUCGCUGCUCAUGGGCAGGUGGGACGACCUCUGAGGCCGAGCAGAAAGGCAGGGGGCAGGGUGACAGACACUGAGGAAGCCCCAGAACGUCUCCGUCCUCUCCGAGGCAGGAAGUCCGCUUUGGGGAUAUCAGGCCACCCCCGACCUCCCCCAGCGAUGGAAACCUGUCCAGGGGCCCCUAGGCUGGGUGCUGGGAACCCAAGUGGCCAGAAGUAAAGGCUGGCAGGGCUCGCUGAAGUUAGCAAGGCUUUGAGGGGAAUUUGCCGGGAGGGAGAUCAAAACACCCCCAAACUCAAGCAGCGAAGUCCUGGCGCGAAAAUGGCUUUUCACUUCUCCAAGCGCAAGUCUCGCUCGCUACGGUGAACAAACCUUGAGGUUCGAAACAGCUGCAAAUAAUCAAGUAGGCGCAAAUUUCGGGAGGGGAAAGGAGGGGCGAAAGGAUUUUUUCACUCGUCAUUACGUAAAUAAAGAAGAAGAUGAUGAUACUAAUAACAGCUAACAUUUACUGUAUACCAGAACUGUGGCUCCAUAAUGGAAUCAAGAAGUCAUGGAAUCCUAUGCUUGGAAGUUUGGAGGGCAUUGGUCCAACUUCCCACUGAACCCAGAGUUCUGAAGAUGGGCAGAUGAUCAGAUGCAGAUGGAACAAUUUUCAGGACUUGCAGAUUCAAGAAAGGUCCCCAGUUCCUCUGGGAAUCAUCCUGUACACAACAUCUUCACAAGGGUGGCAGGCAGUUGGAUCUCUGGCCUUCGUGGGACCACUGGACAUCUGGCAGAGAACCAGAAAACCACUCUUCCCUUCUGCUCCCAAUGCAGCUGCUGUCUGCAGACCCCCUAGACUGCCCAGGGAAGUGAGUCGGAACUCCUGCAACAGAGGGGUGGAACAGCUACAAGAAGAUCUGAAGGUGGCCAAAAAUAACAGCACUUUCCAGAUGAGGGAGCCAGUUUUCCAGCACAGUGUCAUGGGACAGUGGGCCCUGGUGUCACAUGUCCGGCAUCUCCACCAGAUACAGCUUUGAGAUCUUCAUGAUGAAGCUUGCUCCAAUCCAAAGGCUUUCAGGCAGGGUUUGCUGUUCAGCUGCUAACCUUUCUUUGGUAAGCAUUUACUAUAUUCCAUCAUUACUGAAAUUACUUUUUUCU